AUAUGCAUCUAGUGUUCUAAUCUUUGGUAAGACCGCAUGUGAUAAAGAGGACGAGCUUUCAAUUAAAAGGUGUGAAGAAUCCGAGCUUUGCGAAGCCAGGUGGACCGGUGAAGCGUUCUUAAUUUGGAUGAUGGUUGCCAUGCUCAGCUCACCAAAAUUAAAUGUGAGUUGGAAGAGCUUUUCACAGAUGCUGCUCAUGCACCCAAGCAGAGAAAAGAUUCUUAUUCUAAUAUAGCUAAAAGGCAGCAACCAACGUGCACAAGUCAUUUACACUGGUGAAUUGGAUGCAUUAACUUUUACAAUCGAUGGCCUAAAUUACAAACUAUAUAUGUGCAUUCUGAUCAUAUAUAAGAUCCAACGUUAAUAUUUCACUGUAUUUCAAUAUACAAUAUAUUGUGGCUUAUUAUUUGGUAAGGAAAAUGAUAUCUAAGGUGCUCAAUGUAUUAUAUUUGCUUUACCUAUUUUUUUCUUAUGGCCUUAUGUAAUAAAAUUAGAAGAUAAUUUAUGCAUUAGUCUUUUUCUGAGAA